rnacentral:rRNA from 1 species
GAGUAGCAAUACAACUGGGUGGCGACCGGCGCACGGGUGAGUAACGCGUAUGCAACCUACCUAUCAGAGGGGAAUAACCCGGCGAAAGUCGGACUAAUACCGCAUAAAACAGGGGCACCGCAUGGUGAUAUUUGUUAAAGAAAUUCGCUGAUAGAUGGGCAUGCGUUCCAUUAGGUAGUUGGUGAGGUAACGGCUCACCAAGCCGACGAUGGAUAGGGGAACUGAGAGGUUGGUCCCCCACACUGGUACUGAGACACGGACCAGACUCCUACGGGAGGCAGCAGUGAGGAAUAUUGGUCAAUGGGCGGGAGCCUGAACCAGCCAAGUCGCGUGAAGGAAGAAGGAUCUAUGGUUCGUAAACUUCUUUUGCAGGGGAAUAAAGUGCGGGACGUGUCCCGUUUUGUAUGUACCCUGAGAAUAAGGAUCGGCUAACUCCGUGCCAGCAGCCGCGGUAAUACGGAGGAUCCGAGCGUUAUCCGGAUUUAUUGGGUUUAAAGGGUGCGUAGGUGGUUUGAUAAGUCAGCGGUGAAAGUUUGCAGCUUAACUGUAAAAAUGCCGUUGAAACUGUCGGACUUGAGUGUAAAUGAGGUAGGCGGAAUGCGUGGUGUAGCGGUGAAAUGCAUAGAUAUCACGCAGAACUCCGAUUGCGAAGGCAGCUUACUAAGCUACAACUGACACUGAAGCACGAAAGCGUGGGGAUCAAACAGGAAUUAAAUCCCUGGUAGUCCACGCAGUAAACAAUGAUACUAACUGGUUGGCGAACACAGUAAGCGGGACAGCGAAAGCGUUAAGUAAUCCACCCUGGG